rnacentral:rRNA from 1 species
UACGGGGGGGGCAAGCGUUGUUCGGAAUUACUGGGCGUAAAGGGAGCGCAGGCGGCUAAACAAGUCUGGAGUGCAAGCCCGGGGCUCAACCCCGGAAUUGCUUUGGAUACUGUUUGGCUUGAGUACGUCAGAGGUGAGCGGAAUUCCAGGUGUAGCGGUGAAAUGCGCAGAUAUCAGGAGGAACACCGGUGGCGAAGGCGGUGGUCUGGGCCAGUACUGACGCUGAGGAGCGAAAGCGUGGGUAGCAAACAGG